rnacentral:rRNA from 1 species
UACGUAGGGUGCGAGCGUUGUCCGGAAUUAUUGGGCGUAAAGGGCUCGUAGGCGGUUUGUCGCGUCGGGAGUGAAAUCCACUGGCUUAACUGGUGGCUUGCUUUCGAUACGGGCAGACUGGAGGUAUGCAGGGGAGAACGGAAUUCCUGGUGUAGCGGUGAAAUGCGCAGAUAUCAGGAGGAACACCGGUGGCGAAGGCGGGUCUCUGGGCAACAACUGACGCUGAGGAG